UCUAGAUAUUUCCUCUGCAUACGACAAU
rnacentral:sRNA from 1 species